rnacentral:rRNA from 1 species
AUUGAACGCUGGCGGCAGGCCUAACACAUGCAAGUCGAGCGGAGCGUCGGACGGGUGUGUAAUGUAUGGGGAUCUGCCCGAUAGAGGGGGAUAACUACUCGAAAGAGUGGCUAAUACCGCAUACUAUUUGAGCGGCCGAUAUCGGAUGAGCUCGUUGGGGGGGUAAAGGCUCACCAAGGCAACGAUCCGGAGCGGGUUUGAGAGGACGACCAGCCACACUGGGACUGAGACACGGCCCAGACUCCUACGGGAGGCAGCAGUGGGGAAUUUUGGACAAUGGGGGAAACCCUGAUCCAGCCAUCCCGCGUGUAUGAUGAAGGCCUUCGGGUUGUAAAGUACUUUUGGCAGAGAAGCGGUAUCUGCAGAAGAAGCACCGGCUAACUACGUGCCAGCAGCCGCGGUAAUAC